rnacentral:rRNA from 1 species
GAUGAACGCUGGCGGCGUGCCUAAUACAUGCAAGUCGAGCGAACAGACGAGGAGCUUGCUCCUCUGACGUUAGCGGCGGACGGGUGAGUAACACGUGGAUAACCUACCUAUAAGACUGGGAUAACUUCGGGAAACCGGAGCUAAUACCGGAUAAUAUAUUGAACCGCAUGGUUCAAUAGUGAAAGACGGUUUUGCUGUCACUUAUAGAUGGAUCCGCGCCGCAUUAGCUAGUUGGUAAGGUAAGGGCUUACCAAGGCAACGAUGCGUAGCCGACCUGAGAGGGUGAUCGGCCACACUGGAACUGAGACACGGUCCAGACGCCUACGGGAGGCAGCAGUAGGGAAUCUUCCGCAAUGGGCGAAAGCCUGACGGAGCAACGCCGCGUGAGUGAUGAAGGUCUUCGGAUCGUAAAACUCUGUUAUUAGGGAAGAACAAAUGUGUAAGUAACUAUGCACGUCUUGACGGUACCUAAUCAGAAAGCCACGGCUAACUACGUG